rnacentral:rRNA from 1 species
AACAACUGGAAACGGUUGCUAAUACCCCAUAUGCUUUCGAGUGAAAUGGAUUUCCGCCUAAAGAGAAGCUUGCGGCUGAUUAGCUUGUUGGUGAGGUAAUAGCUCACCAAGGCGACGAUCAGUAUCUGGUUUGAGAGGACGAUCAGACACACUGGAACUGAGACACGGUCCAGACUCCUACGGGAGGCAGCAGUGGGGAAUUUUCCGCAAUGGGCGAAAGCCUGACGGAGCAAUACCGCGUGAGGGAUGACGGCCUAUGGGUUGUAAACCUCUUUUUUCAGGGAGGAAUCAAUGACGUGUACCUGAAGAAUAAGCAUCGGCUAACUCCGUGCCAGCAGCCGCGGUAAGACGGAGGAUGCAAGUGUUAUCCGGAAUCACUGGGCGUAAAGCGUCUGUAGGUGGUUUAAUAAGUCAACUGUUAAAUCUUGAGGCUCAACCUCAAAAUCGCAAUCGAAACUAUUAGACUAGAGUAUAGUAGGGGUAAAGGGAAUUUCCAGUGGAGCGGUGAAAUGCGUAGAUAUUGGAAGGAACACCGAUGGCGAAAGCACUUUACUGGGCUAUUACUAACACUCAGAGACGAAAGCUAGGU